rnacentral:rRNA from 1 species
UAAAGAUAAUAAGGGCGUACGGUGGAUGCCUUGGCGAUAUCAGCCGAAGAAGGACGCGGUAAGCUGCGAUAAGCUACGGAGAGGUGCAAGCAACCUGUGACCCGUAGAUUUCCGAAUGGGGGAACCCGGCAGUGGUUAUGCACUGUCACCCAUAGCUUAGACUAUGAGGAGGGCACCUGGGGAACUGAAACAUCUAAUUACCCGGAGGAACAGUAAUCAAACGAGAUUUUCUUAGUAGCGGCGAGCGAACGGGAAAGAGGCCAAACCGGAGCGGGCAACCGCACCGGGGUUGAGGACAGUCAUCAAGUGUAAAUGAGGUAGAAGAAUCGAGCUGGAAAGCUCAGCCGCAGAAGGUGAAAGCCCUGUAAUCGAAACCUUGCAUACAUGGGACUGUAUCCAGAGUACCACGAGACACGUGAAACCUUGUGGGAAGCAGGGGGGACCACCCUCCAAGCCAAAAUACUGAUAUCGACCGAUAGCGCAUAGUACCGUGAGGGAAAGGUGAAAAGAACCCCUGGCGGGGAGUGAAAGAGAACCUGAAACCGUAUGUCUACAAACAGUCGAAGUCUGUAUAUAUAUCAGGACGACGGCGUGCCUAUUGAAGAAUGAACCGACGAGUUACUGUUGCUAGCGAGGUUAAGUGGAAAACAUGGAGCCGCAGCGAAAGCGAGUCUGAACAGGGCGUUCAGUUAGUAAUAGUAGACCCGAAACCGUAGUGAUCUAUCCAUGGCCAGGUUGAAGCACAGGUAAAAUUGUGUGGAGGACCGAACUCGUGAGCGUUGAAAAGCUUUGGGAUGAGUUGUGGAUAGGGGUGAAAUGCCAAUCGAACACGGAGAUAGCUGGUUCUCCCCGAAAUAGCUUUAGGGCUAGCCUCGAGGUUGAGAGUAUAGGCGGUAGAGCACUGAUCGGGCUAGGGGAACACCGACUAAGGUCCCAAAUGUUACACUAAGUGGCGAAGGAUGUGGAGUUUCCAAAACAACCAGGAUGUUGGCUUAGAAGCAGCCACCAUUUAAAGAGUGCGUAAUAGCUCACUGGUCGAGAGACUCUGCGCCGAAGAUGUCCGGGGCUAAAGUGUAAAACCGAAGUCGUGUCAUAUGCAGCAAUGUAUAUGGGUAGGGGAGCGUUCUCAUCGGGCUGAAGCAGUACCGUAAGGAGUUGUGGACUGAUGAGAAGUGAGAAUGUCGGUAUGAGUAGCGAAAAGAAUGGUGAGAAUCCAUUCCACCGAAAGCCUAAGGGUUCCUGAGCAACGAUCGUCGUCUCAGGGUAAGUCGGGACCUAAGCCGAGGCGGAAAAGCGUAGGCGAUGGACAACAGGUUGAAAUUCCUGUACCGGUGUGAAUCGUUUGAUCGAUGGAGUGACACAGUAAGGUAGGUCAGCACGCGAUUGGAAGUGCGUGUUUAAGCAUGUAGGUUGAGCUAUAGGCAAAUCCGUAGCUCUAAAAGCUGAGAUGUGAUGACGAGCGACUAGCAAUAGUCGCGAAGUGAUUGAUCCUACACUGUCGAGAAAAGCUUCUAGGUAGAGACACAUCGCCCGUACCAAAACCGACACAGGUAGGCGGGGAGAGAAUCCUAAGGUGCGCGGGAAAACCCUCGUUAAGGAACUCGGCAAAAUGCCUCCGUAACUUCGGGAAAAGGAGGACUCAUGUAGUGUGAAGAGCAGCAACGCUUGGAGCAUGAAUGAGUGGCACAAGAGAGGCGCAAGCGACUGUUUACCACAAACACAGGUGCCUGCUAAAGCGAAAGCUGAUGUAUAGGUGCUGACACCUGCCCGGUGCUGGAAGGUUAAGAGGAGGGGUUAGACUUCGGUCGAAGCUCUGAAUUGAAGCCCCAGUAAACGGCGGCCGUAACUAUAACGGUCCUAAGGUAGCGAAAUUCCUUGUCGGGUAAG